UCUUCUUCCCUUCUCCUCUCUCACGUUUCUUCAAACUCCAUGGAAGCUUGACUUUCAACCUUCCACAACUUUCUCUCUCUAACUCCAAUUUUCAUGCUUUUGGUGCACCCUUCCAUAAUCCCUUGUGCUAUUUCAUCUUCUCACUUCAAAAACCUUGAAAUAUCUUGUUUUCAUACUUUCUCUCACUAGUUGGGCAUUCUAAUGAGAGAAAGAGAGAAUCACUCCAUUGAUUUGGAAGCUAUUGGAAGAGAAUCCAACUACAAAGGAACCCUAGGGUGAGUGAUGCACCAAGUUUGAUUUUAGCUGUAGAAAAUGGCUAGUAAUUGUGAUUUAUGAGCUGUUUUAUUGUUUAGUAUGUUCAUUAUUUUUUAGUGAUUAAGAUAGUGAACAUAGAUAGCCAUUUAAAGUGGCAAUUGAAAACUAGCUAAGAGAUAGCUUUUAGAGUUCAUAGUGUGUAAAUUAAUCUAUUGUUUAUGUUAAUGUGAUCCUAGGUUUUUAAGGAAGCACCA
rnacentral:lncRNA from 1 species